rnacentral:rRNA from 1 species
UACGUAGGGACCGAGCGUUGUCCGGAUUCAUUGGGCGUAAAGAGCUCGUAGGCGGCUGCUCAAGUCGAAUGUGAAACUCGAGGCCUACACCUCGAGCCUGCAUUCGAUACUGGGCGGCUAGAGUCUGGUAGGGGGAUCUGGAAUUCCUGGUGUAGCGGUGGAAUGCGCAGAUAUCAGGAGGAACACCGGUGGCGAAGGCGGCGCUCUGGACCGAGACUGACACUGAGAGACGAAAGGCUAGGGGAGCGAAUGGGACUUAGAAACCCCGG